rnacentral:lncRNA from 1 species
CAGAAGCCAAAGUCAAGAAUCGCUGAAAUGUUAGGCAUGAACUCAAAAGAUAGAAUGGAAUACAGAAAAAGCUACCUGUGUGGAAUGAAAAGCAGAAUUUCCUUAUGUUCGGGCUCUGCUCCUUCUUCAGAACUUGUUUGAGAAGAAGAGAACCAAUUAUGCUAUCAAACGCUGACAUUUCUUGAUGACAAUGUUUCUGGAAGCAUAGUGUAAGAUGACUAGCUGGAUGAGCUCUGUCUUCCCUUCUUUACCUGAGAUUUCUUGCCGGUAUCUCACAUACCGACAGCAUAAGCAGAUGCAUGGAAAGAUGCAGGUAUCAUUAUUCAUCAUGUGUUGGAAACAUAACUGCCAGAAGUUUGGCUUAAACCUGGGGAGACUGCACCUACCAUCAUUCUGGGGGAAGUCAUGUUGUCUUCCUGUUAAGAGCGCGUCAGCGCUCAAAUUGCUUGGCCUGUCCAAUGGCAUGUUUAGAGGCCUUCCACAUGUCUCUUAGGGUCUCCUCCCAACCCCGUUCCAGUGCAGAAGCAGUUUUGAAAGAGAGAUGAAAACUGUCCUUUCUUGCUUCCUGCUCCCAGAUUUUGAGAAGUCCCCUCAAAUGGCCUUUUUAAACUCUUUUUACCAUCACCAUGGGACUGCUACAGCUUCAUUAAGAUGUGUUAGUUAAGCAUCCUGAUUGAUAGAUAUGCUGUAGAGUGAGUUAAAUCACAC